rnacentral:lncRNA from 1 species
AUCAGAACAAUGUAAGAUAAAAUUAACAGAAUCCCAAGACUGUACAGUAUACGGUAUGUUUACUUGAGGCAGACAGAAUCAUUAUGGACCUUUUUUUCUCUCUUAAGACUGACAGUCCACAAAUUAAAAAGCUCAAUUCUACAUGAUGGUAAUGGCAGAAGAAUGCUUCAGAAUGCAUGCAGCCAUAGUUAGAUCAGGUUGAAUGCUUCCCCUUCUAGUCACACACACACACACACACAAUGAGCAUGGCUACAACACAGGAAGCUGACUAUAUAAUGGUGCCGGAGGGGAUGGCUGCCGUUUUAUGGCUGAAAUUUAUGGGCUCAAACUCAUUUUGUACAUAAUGUUGCUACUAACGUCUUUAACGAAAAUAGCUUCUGGACAUCAGAACAGCACAACUCACCUCGAACUGGACAAAGAUUUCUUCUUUAAUGAGUCCAACGCAAAGGAUAUACUGCUUCCCAGAGACCAGGCACAAAUCCCUGUCAUUCGUGUGAAGAAAAGAUGGAAAUACAGUGGGCGGAGGUCUGGGCGCAUUGUGAGAAUUCGUCGCCAAUGAUGGACAAGGACCCCUCCAUUUCUCAUAUGCUAUUACUGCACUCUGAGGCUUGCGAAAAGCUGAUUUCAGGAGCAUGGAUAGCAGGAUACAGUGUGAUUGGAAACAGCUGGUGGUGGAAAAAAAGGGAUCAGAGAAAGAGACACAUUUCAAAAACUGAGGCUUGUUCAACGUUUUACAUCAAAACACACCGACAUCAAAUAGACUGAAUCAAGCAAAAUCCAGGACGACCACAUCACAGAGACAGACAGGGAGGAACAGUCUGCAGGUACGCCAAUACAGAUGUUUUAAUGAGCAGAGUUGCUGUCAUU